rnacentral:rRNA from 1 species
GGAAAUAUGAUGAAGAUUUAUCAGAUUCAUAUUUUAGUGGCGGACGGGUGAGUAACACGUGGGUAACCUGCCCUAUGGAGGGGGAUAACACAUAGAAAUGUGUGCUAAUACCGCAUAAUGUACUUCCAGCGCAUGCUGGAACUACCAAAGAUUUAUUGCCAUAGGAUGGACCCGCGGCCCAUUAGCUAGUUGGUGAGGUAACGGCUCACCAAGGCGACGAUGGGUAGCCGAUCUGAGAGGAUGAACGGCCACAUUGGAACUGAGACACGGUCCAGACUCCUACGGGAGGCAGCAGUGGGGAAUAUUGCACAAUGGGGGAAACCCUGAUGCAGCAACGCCGCGUGAGUGACGAAGGCCUUCGGGUUGUAAAACUCUGUCUUAGCUGACGAUAAUGACGGUAAGCUAGGAGGAAGCCACGGCUAACUACGUGCCAGCAGCCGCGGUAAUACGUAGGUGGCGAGCGUUGUCCGGAAUUACUGGGCGUAAAGGGAGCGUAGGCGGUUUUUUAAGUGGGAUGUGAAAUCCCCGGGCUUAACCUGGGAAUUGCAUUCCAUACUGGGAAACUAGAGUGCAGGAGAGGAAAGUGGAAUUCCAAGUGUAGCGGUGAAAUGCGUAGAGAU